UCUGCUCAAUGAUUUUUUAAAUUGCUGUGGUAUUUUGACUAUACAAAGGUAUUGAAAUAAGAUUUUAAUUGAAUGCUAAGAGAAUGGACUCUCAGAGAAAAACUUUUUUUAAAUUAAAAAUUGAAAUUUUUUUAAUUUGUGCAGAAACAAUUAUUAAUAUUAAGGACAAGAAGACCCUAUGAAUUUAUUAAAUUUCAUUUAAUAUGUAAUUACUAUUGAAGAAAUUUUGGCUGGGGCGGCUAAAAAAUAUUUUAAACUUUUUAAAAAUAAAAUGAUCCAUUAUUAAUGAUUAUAUGUUAAAUACUCUAGGGAUAACAGC
rnacentral:rRNA from 1 species